CUGAGGUGAGAAGCGGCACACGCGUGUCGCCGCAUCAUCGAUCGACCUUAUCUGCUCUCAAAGAGGUUUGAGUAAGAGCGUAUUUGUUGGGACCCGAAAGAUGGUGAACUAUACCUGAAUAGGGUGAAGCCAGCGGAAACACUGGUGGAAGCUCGUAGCGAA
rnacentral:rRNA from 1 species